rnacentral:rRNA from 1 species
UGGGGAAUAUUGGACAAUGGGCGCAAGCCUGAUCCAGCCAUGCCGCGUGAGUGAUGAAGGCCCUAGGGUUGUAAAGCUCUUUCACCGGUGAAGAUAAUGACGGUAACCGGAGAAGAAGCCCCGGCUAACUUCGUGCCAGCAGCCGCGGUAAUACGAAGGGGGCUAGCGUUGUUCGGAUUUACUGGGCGUAAAGCGCACGUAGGCGGACUUUUAAGUCAGGGGUGAAAUCCCGGGGCUCAACCCCGGAACUGCCUUUGAUACUGGAAGUAUUGAGUAUGGUAGAGGGGAGUGGAAUUCCGAGUGUAGAGGUGAAAUUCGUAGAUAUUCGGAGGAACACCAGUGGCGAAGGCGGCUCACUGGACCAUUACUGACGCUGAGGUGCGAAAGCGUGGGGAGCAAACAGG